GACGAACGCUGGCGGCGUGCUUAACACAUGCAAGUCGAGCGGAAAGGCCCGGCUUUUGUGGGGUGCGCGAGUGGCGAACGGGGGAGUAACACGCGAGUAACCUGCCCUUGACUGUGGGAUAACUUCAGGAAACUGGGGCGAAUACCGGAUAUGAGCUCCUGCUGCAUGGGGGGGGUGGGAAAGAUUCGUCGGUUGGGGAUGGACUCGCGGUUUAUCAGCUUGUUGGUGGGGUAGUGGCUUACCAAGGCUUUGACGGGUAGCCGGCCUGAGAGGGUGACCGGCCACAUUGGGACUGAGAUACGGCCCAGACUCCUACGUGAGGCAGCAGUGGAGAAUAUUGCACAAUGGGCGGAAGCCUGAUGCAACAACGCCGCGUGCGAGAUGACGGCCUUCGGGUUGUAAACCGCUUUCGCCUGUGACGCAGCGUGAGUGACGGUAAUGGGUAAAGAAGCACCGGCUAACUACGUG
rnacentral:rRNA from 1 species